UCCUGGUGGCUCAGACGGUAAAGCAUCCGCCUGCAACGCGGGAGACCCAGGUUCGAUUCCUGGGUCGGGAA
rfam:Ovis aries breed Texel chromosome 15, whole genome shotgun sequence.